UACGGAGGGUGCAAGCGUUGUUCGGAAUUACUGGGCGUAAAGCGCGUGUAGGCGGUCUCCUAAGUCUGGUGUGAAAGCCCGGGGCUCACCCCCGGAAGUGCACUGGAUACUGGGAGACUGGAGUACCGGAGAGGAGGGUGGAAUUCCUGGUGUAGCGGUGAAAUGCGUAGAUAUCAGGAAGAACACCGGUGGCGAAGGCGGCCCUCUGGACGGAUACUGACGCUGAGACGCGAAAGCGUGGGGAGCAAACAGG
rnacentral:rRNA from 1 species